CUCAGUAACGGCGAGUGAAGCGGCAACAGCUCUAAUUUGAAAUCUGGCCCUUUCCGGGCCCGAGUUGUAAUUUGGAGAAGAUGCUUCGGGUGCGGCCCCGGUCUAAGUUCCUUGGAACAGGACGUCACAGAGGGUGAGAAUCCCGUACGUGCCCGGUGGUCGCCCCCGUGUGAAGCUCUUUCGACGAGUCGAGUUGUUUGGGAAUGCAGCUCAAAAUGGGUGGUAAAUUUCAUCUAAAGCUAAAUAUUGGCCAGAGACCGAUAGCGCACAAGUAGAGUGAUCGAAAGAUGAAAAGCACUUUGGAAAGAGAGUUAAACAGUACGUGAAAUUGUUGAAAGGGAAGCGCUUGCAACCAGACUUGCGCGCGGCCGAUCAUCCGGUGUUCGCACCGGUGCACUCGACCGCGCGCAGGCCAGCAUCGGUUUGGGUGGCUGGAGAAAGGCCACGGGAAUGUGGCUCCCCUCGGGGAGUGUUAUAGCCCGCGGCGCAAUGCAGCCCACCCGGACCGAGGACCGCGCUUCGGCUAGGAUGCUGGCGUAAUGGUUGUAAGCGACCCGUCUUGAAACACGGACCAAGGAGUCUAACAUCUAUGCGAGUGUUUGGGUGUCAAACCCAUACGCGGAAUGAAAGUGAACGGAGGUGAGAACCCUUAAGGGUGCAUCAUCGACCGAUCCUGAUGUCUUCGGAUGGAUUUGAGUAAGAGCAUAGCUGUUGGGACCCGAAAGAUGGUGAACUAUGCCUGAAUAGGGUGAAGCCAGAGGAAACUCUGGUGGAGGCUCGCAGCGGUUCUGACGUGCAAAUCGAUCGUCAAAUUUGGGCAUAGGGGCGA
rnacentral:rRNA from 1 species